CCAAUAGCGUAUAUUAAAGUUGUUGCAGUUAAAAAGCUCGUAGUUGAAUUUCGGGAUUAGUACGUUGGUCGUGCCUUCGGUACGUACUGGUGUUACUGAUUCCUACCUUCUGACGAACCAUCAUGUCAUUAAUUUGGUGUGGCGGGGAAUCAGGACUGUUACUUUGAAAAAAUUAGAGUGUUUAAAGCAGGCUCGCGCUUGAAUACAUUAGCAUGGAAAAAUGAAAUAGGACGUUGACCCUAUUUUGUUGGUUUCUAGGAUUGACGUAAUGAUUAAUAGGGAUAGUUUGGGGCAUUAGUAUUCAAUUGUCAGAGGUGAAAUUCUUGGAUUUAUUGAAGACUAACUACUGCGAAAGCAUUUGCCAAGGAUGUUUUCAUUAAUCAAGAACGAAAGUUAGGGGAUCGAAGACGAUCAGAUACCGUCGUAGUCUUAACCAUAAACUAUGCCGACUAGGGAUCGGAUGAUGUUAUUUUUAAUGACUCAUUCGGCGCCUUACG
rnacentral:misc_RNA from 1 species